GCCCAGGUGGCGAAAUCGGUAGACGCAAGGGACUUAAAAUCCCUCGGUUUACACCGUGCCGGUUCGAGUCCGGCCCUGGGCACCA
rnacentral:tRNA from 1 species